rnacentral:rRNA from 1 species
UACGUAGGGUGCGAGCGUUGUCCGGAAUUAUUGGGCGUAAAGAGCUUGUAGGCGGUUUGUCGCGUCUGCUGUGAAAAUCCGGGGCUCAACCCCGGACUUGCAGUGGGUACGGGCAGACUAGAGCGUGGUAGGGGAGACUGGAAUUCCUGGUGUAGCGGUAAAAUGCGCAGAUAUCAGGAGGAACACCGAUGGCGAAGGCAGGUCUCUGGGCCACUACUGACGCUGAGAAGCGAAAGCAUGGGGAGCGAACAGG